CCUACGGGGUGCAGCAGUGGGGGAUAUUGCACAAUGGGGGGAACCCUGAUGCAGCGACGCCGCGUGGGUGAAGAAGCGCCUCGGCGCGUAAAGCCCUGUCAGCAGGGAAGAAAAUGACGGUACCUGACUAAGAAGCCCCGGCUAACUACGUGCCAGCAGCCGCGGUAAUACGUAGGGGGCAAGCGUUAUCCGGAUUUACUGGGUGUAAAGGGAGCGUAGACGGUAUGGCAAGUCUGAAGUGAAAGCCCAGGGCUUAACCCUGGGACUGCUUUGGAAACUGUUAGACUAGAGUGCUGGAGAGGUAAGUGGAAUUCCUAGUGUAGCGGUGAAAUGCGUAGAUAUUAGGAGGAACACCAGUGGCGAAGGCGGCUUACUGGACAGUAACUGACGUUGAGGCUCGAAAGCGUGGGGAGCAAACAGGAUUAGAUACCCGGGUAGUC
rnacentral:rRNA from 1 species